rnacentral:tRNA from 1 species
GCGCUGUUAGCUCAGUUGGAUAGAGCAUUUGCCUUCUAAGCAAUUGGUCACUGGUUCGACUCCAGUACAGCGCA